CAAUAGCGUAUAUUUAAGUUGUUGCAGUUAAAAAGCUCGUAGUCGGAUUUUGGCUGAGAACGAUCGGUCCGCCGUUAGGUGUGCACUGAUUGGUCUCAGCUUCCUGGUGAGGAGGUGUGCUUCACGGCCACUUAGUCACCGUGGUUACGUUGAAAAAAUUAGAGUGUUCAAAGCGGGCUUACGCUUGAAUAUAUUAGCAUGGAAUAACACCAUAGGACUCCUGUCCUAUUUCGUUGGUCUCGGGACGGGAGUAAUGAUUAAGAGGAACAGUUGGGGGCAUUCGUAUUUCAUUGUCAGAGGUGAAAUUCUUGGAUUUAUGAAAGACGAACUUCUGCGAAAGCAUUUGCCAAGGAUGUUUUCAUUGA
rnacentral:rRNA from 1 species